CAGCUGAUGCAGCAACGCCGCGUGAGGGAUGACGGCCUUCGGGUUGUAAACCUCUUUCAGCAGGGACGAAGCUGACGUUACCGUACCCUGCAAAACACGGCCCAGCCAAUUACAUCCCCCCCGCCGCUAUAAUACGUACGAGCCUUGCGUUGUCCUAAUUUAUUGAGCGUAAACAGCUCCUAUGCGGUUUGUCCACGUCUGAUGUGAAAACCCUCAGCUCAACCCCUGCCCUGCAUUCUAUACUGCCAGACUUCAGUUCAGGAGGGUAGAAUUGAAUUCCUGGUGUUGAAAUGAAAUGCCUCAUAUAUCGAGAAGAACUCCCGUAGCCAACGCGGUUCUCUGGGACUGAACUGACGCUGAGGAGCCAUAGCGUGCGGACCAGAC
rnacentral:rRNA from 1 species